GGUUAAGCGACUAAGCGUACACGGUGGAUGCCCUGGCAGUCAGAGGCGAUGAAGGACGUGCUAAUCUGCGAUAAGCGUCGGUAAGGUGAUAUGAACCGUUAUAACCGGCGAUUUCCGAAUGGGGAAACCCAGUGUGUUUCGACACACUAUCAUUAACUGAAUCCAUAGGUUAAUGAGGCGAACCGGGGGAACUGAAACAUCUAAGUACCCCGAGGAAAAGAAAUCAACCGAGAUUCCCCCAGUAGCGGCGAGCGAACGGGGAGCAGCCCAGAGCCUGAAUCAGUGUGUGUGUUAGUGGAAGCGUCUGGAAAGGCGUGCGAUACAGGGUGACAGCCCCGUACACAAAAAUGCACAUAUUGUGAGCUCGAUGAGUAGGGCGGGACACGUGGUAUCCUGUCUGAAUAUGGGGGGACCAUCCUCCAAGGCUAAAUACUCCUGACUGACCGAUAGUGAACCAGUACCGUGAGGGAAAGGCGAAAAGAACCCCGGCGAGGGGAGUGAAAAAGAACCUGAAACCGUGUACGUACAAGCAGUGGGAGCACGCUUAGGCGUGUGACUGCGUACCUUUUGUAUAAUGGGUCAGCGACUUAUAUUCUGUAGCAAGGUUAACCGAAUAGGGGAGCCGAAGGGAAACCGAGUCUUAACUGGGCGUUAAGUUGCAGGGUAUAGACCCGAAACCCGGUGAUCUAGCCAUGGGCAGGUUGAAGGUUGGGUAACACUAACUGGAGGACCGAACCGACUAAUGUUGAAAAAUUAGCGGAUGACUUGUGGCUGGGGGUGAAAGGCCAAUCAAACCGGGAGAUAGCUGGUUCUCCCCGAAAGCUAUUUAGGUAGCGCCUCGUGAAUUCAUCUCCGGGGGUAGAGCACUGUUUCGGCAAGGGGGUCAUCCCGACUUACCAACCCGAUGCAAACUGCGAAUACCGGAGAAUGUUAUCACGGGAGACACACGGCGGGUGCUAACGUCCGUCGUGAAGAGGGAAACAACCCAGACCGCCAGCUAAGGUCCCAAAGUCAUGGUUAAGUGGGAAACGAUGUGGGAAGGCCCAGACAGCCAGGAUGUUGGCUUAGAAGCAGCCAUCAUUUAAAGAAAGCGUAAUAGCUCACUGGUCGAGUCGGCCUGCGCGGAAGAUGUAACGGGGCUAAACCAUGCACCGAAGCUGCGGCAGCGACGCUUAUGCGUUGUUGGGUAGGGGAGCGUUCUGUAAGCCUGUGAAGGUGUACUGUGAGGUAUGCUGGAGGUAUCAGAAGUGCGAAUGCUGACAUAAGUAACGAUAAAGCGGGUGAAAAGCCCGCUCGCCGGAAGACCAAGGGUUCCUGUCCAACGUUAAUCGGGGCAGGGUGAGUCGACCCCUAAGGCGAGGCCGAAAGGCGUAGUCGAUGGGAAACAGGUUAAUAUUCCUGUACUUGGUGUUACUGCGAAGGGGGGACGGAGAAGGCUAUGUUGGCCGGGCGACGGUUGUCCCGGUUUAAGCGUGUAGGCUGGUUUUCCAGGCAAAUCCGGAAAAUCAAGGCUGAGGCGUGAUGACGAGGCACUACGGUGCUGAAGCAACAAAUGCCCUGCUUCCAGGAAAAGCCUCUAAGCAUCAGGUAACAUCAAAUCGUACCCCAAACCGACACAGGUGGUCAGGUAGAGAAUACCAAGGCGCUUGAGAGAACUCGGGUGAAGGAACUAGGCAAAAUGGUGCCGUAACUUCGGGAGAAGGCACGCUGAUAUGUAGGUGAAGCGACUUGCUCGUGGAGCUGAAAUCAGUCGAAGAUACCAGCUGGCUGCAACUGUUUAUUAAAAACACAGCACUGUGCAAACACGAAAGUGGACGUAUACGGUGUGACGCCUGCCCGGUGCCGGAAGGUUAAUUGAUGGGGUCAGCGCAAGCGAAGCUCUUGAUCGAAGCCCCGGUAAACGGCGGCCGUAACUAUAACGGUCCUAAGGUAGCGAAAUUCCUUGUCGGGUAAGUUCCGACCUGCACGAAUGGCGUAAUGAUGGCCAGGCUGUCUCCACCCGAGACUCAGUGAAAUUGAACUCGCUGUGAAGAUGCAGUGUACCCGCGGCAAGACGGAAAGACCCCGUGAACCUUUACUAUAGCUUGACACUGAACAUUGAGCCUUGAUGUGUAGGAUAGGUGGGAGGCUUUGAAGUGUGGACGCCAGUCUGCAUGGAGCCGACCUUGAAAUACCACCCUUUAAUGUUUGAUGUUCUAACGUGGACCCGUAAUCCGGGUUGCGGACAGUGUCUGGUGGGUAGUUUGACUGGGGCGGUCUCCUCCUAAAGAGUAACGGAGGAGCACGAAGGUUGGCUAAUCCUGGUCGGACAUCAGGAGGUUAGUGCAAUGGCAUAAGCCAGCUUGACUGCGAGCGUGACGGCGCGAGCAGGUGCGAAAGCAGGUCAUAGUGAUCCGGUGGUUCUGAAUGGAAGGGCCAUCGCUCAACGGAUAAAAGGUACUCCGGGGAUAACAGGCUGAUACCGCCCAAGAGUUCAUAUCGACGGCGGUGUUUGGCACCUCGAUGUCGGCUCAUCACAUCCUGGGGCUGAAGUAGGUCCCAAGGGUAUGGCUGUUCGCCAUUUAAAGUGGUACGCGAGCUGGGUUUAGAACGUCGUGAGACAGUUCGGUCCCUAUCUGCCGUGGGCGCUGGAGAACUGAGGGGGGCUGCUCCUAGUACGAGAGGACCGGAGUGGACGCAUCACUGGUGUUCGGGUUGUCAUGCCAAUGGCACUGCCCGGUAGCUAAAUGCGGAAGAGAUAAGUGCUGAAAGCAUCUAAGCACGAAACUUGCCCCGAGAUGAGUUCUCCCUGACUCCUUGAGAGUCCUGAAGGAACGUUGAAGACGACGACGUUGAUAGGCCGGGUGUGUAAGCGCAGCGAUGCGUUGAGCUAACCGGUACUAAUGAACCGUGAGGCUUAACCUU
rnacentral:rRNA from 1 species